AGACUAAAUGUUUAUAAAGAAAGAGUGCUGUUGGAUAGGAGUAGCUAAUGUUUGUCGAAUGCUUUGAACUGUGUGUUAGAUGUGUAUUGAAGUCUCUGUUGUUUCAUUUAGUAGGGUACAAUGGUAUGAAGUUAUUUUUGUCUUUAAUUUACAGAUAUGCAUAACUCACUCCGAUUGUAAAUUACACCAGGGUUCUUUUGAGGGAACAUGAGACAAUAGGGUCCGGAGUCCAUCUGGAAGGGUUAACAUACAUGAGCCGCUAGGAGAAGCCUAAGGAAUAUUAGUGAGAGGAAUAGCUGAGAUGUCACAUACACAGUCUGGUACACUCGACUCACUCGGUGGCAGGAUCAGACUCAUGGAAUGCUCACUGCUUACUAGACACACAGGAAAACUGCAUUUCUGUAACAGGAUAAAGGCUGUGGAUAUUUCUGAGAAAACUGAGUCACCAUUCAGAUAAAAUUAAUCCUUGCCUUAUUCAUCGUAUCAAAAUGCAUUUCAGGGCUGGGGGAAGAUUCAGUUGAUCAAGUGUGUGAUGCACAGGCAUGCGGCCUGUGCUGGAUCCCCAGAGCUAGGUGCGGUGGCACGCUCUUGUCACUGCAGGGCUAGAGAGGUAGCAACUGCUGGGCUCACUGCUCAAAUCAGCAAGUCCCUAUAUUGUUAACAGUUAGGGGGAUUUAGGAUUUCAACUUUUUUAUAUUUUUUUGUGUGUGUGUUUGAAUUGUUUUUAGUAAUGUGUGCAUGCCCACGUACAAUACAGUUACUAAAGAAGUAGAAAGAGAAGAGAAGCUGACAUCAGCUGAUUUUGUUAGCUAACACUUGAAAACAACACACAAUAUUAUUCAUUUUGCUUUAGAAUUAGUAUGUGUGUGGGGUGUGGCUCAGGCGUCAAGAAUACUUCCAAGAGACCCAGGUUCAGUUACCAGCACAAUGGAAGCUCACAACUGCCUGAGCCCCAGUCCUAGAAGUGCAACACUUUUUUUUUCUGCCUUCUGAAUGCAUGUGGUGCACAGACAUACAUGCAGGCAAAAUACCCUGGCCAAAAAAAAAGAAAGAAAAAG
rnacentral:lncRNA from 1 species